rfam:Myotis davidii contig39422, whole genome shotgun sequence.
GGCGGUUCUCAGGUGAUGCACCCUGGAACCAGAGAGGAGGGAGCCCGAUUCUGGGGUGCAUCACCCGAGAACUGCA